GGAAGAGUGACGUGACCCGGUGGUCCGACUGGACUUCAAAUCCAGGUGGGGUUGCCAGCAAUCCCGGGUGGGUUCGACUCCCAUACUCUUCCGCCA
rnacentral:tRNA from 1 species